UACAGAGGGGGCAAGCGUUGUUCGGAUUCACUGGGCGUAAAGGGUGCGUAGGCGGUCGGGUAAGUCUGACGUGAAAUCUUCAAGCUCAACUUGGAAACUGCGUCCGAUACUAUUCGGCUAGAGGAAUGGAGGGGAGACUGGAAUACUUGGUGUAGCAGUGAAAUGCGUAGAUAUCAAGUGGAACACCAGUGGCGAAGGCAGCUCGCUGGGACGGUACUGACGCUAAGGCGCGAAAGCGUGGGGAGCGAACAGG
rnacentral:rRNA from 1 species